rnacentral:rRNA from 1 species
AACAAUACAGGACUCUUUAGAGGCCCUGUAAUUGUAAUAAGUCCACUUGAAAUCCUUUAACUCUGAUCAAUUGUAGGGCAAGUCUGGUGCAGAGCGACUGACCCGUGCGUGCUGCAGCUGAAA